CCUACGGGAGGCAGCAGUGGGGAAUAUUGCACAAUGGGGGAAACCCUGAUGCAGCGACGCCGCGUGAGUGAAGAAGUACUUCGUUAUGUAAAGCUCUAUCAGCAGGGAAGAAAAUGACGGUACCUGAGUAAGAAGCCCCGGCUAACUACGUGACAGCAGCCGCGGUAAUACGUAGGGGGCAGGCGUUAUCCGGAUUUACUGGGUGUAAAGGGAGCGUAGACGGCAGUGAAAGUCUGGAGUGAAAGGCGGGGGCUCAACCCCCGGACUGCUCUGGAAACUGUACGGCUGGAGUGCAGGAGAGGUAAGUGGAAUGCCUAGUGUAGCGGUGAAAUGCGGAGAUAUUAGGAGGAACACCAGUGGCGAAGGCGGCUUACUGGACUGUAACUGACGUUGAGGCUCGAAAGCGUGGGGAGCAAACAGGAUUAGAUACCCGAGUAGUC
rnacentral:rRNA from 1 species